rnacentral:rRNA from 1 species
UACGUAGGGGGCUAGCGUUGUCCGGAAUUACUGGGUGUAAAGCGCGUGUAGGCGGGAGGCCAAGUCUGUGGUGAAAUCGCUCGGCUUAACUGGGCGGGGUCCAUGGAAACUGGUCACCUGGAGGUCGGUAGAGGCAAGUGGAAUUCCCGGUGUAGUGGUGAAAUGCGUAGAGAUCGGGAGGAACACCAGUGGCGAAGGCGGCUUGCUGGGCCGGACCUGACGCUGAGACGCGAAGGCGUGGGGAGCGAACGGG